rnacentral:ncRNA from 2 species
CACUGUUUCGGCAAUGGGAUCUGCCUUUAACCGUCCGCCAGGACUGAUGAUACCUACUUUUUC